rnacentral:misc_RNA from 1 species
UGUAAACUGGAUGCCUGCAUAAAAGGAUGAGCAAAAUACGCACCGAGAGUCAGAAGUGUAAUCGUCAAGUACGGUAGCCGAAUAAAUUCCUUGUAGUAGUCUUUGGGCAAUUUUUGGCGCCCAUCAAGGAUCGCCCCGAAAGGAACUACACUUGUUCGACUUUUCAGGAUUUCGAAAGCUUCACCGUAUCUUGAUGCAAGUCUCCGAUCGCCAUUCCAAACACCAAACAAGUGGUGUGCGAUCAAGCCGAACGAGGCAGCUGCUGUUACUGAACUCCCAAUCCAGAGCAUGUGAGCUAAGCACCAGAUCACCUGCCCAACCAUCUGAGGGUGCCGGGUGAUUCUCAUGACCCCGGUUUCCCAUAGGUGCAUUUUCGGCUUAUCAACAGCAGCGACUUCUAAUAGAUUGAAGGUGGACGGGUAUAGAAGGAAGAAGGAGAUGAAGGACGAAAACCACACGAGCUCGUGAACUCCAGGGACACUCUGGACUUGCCAAAGCUGAAUGCCAUCGUAUCGGUGAUUGAUGAAGUAAGCUAUGGUACUGAACGCUAAAGGAAGUGAGAUAGCUGCGAAUAGGACACGAUAAGCCCGCUCACCAAUUAGCUUCUCCCCGCCGUCUCUAAAACUAGCCAUGCCGCUAUGAACAGCAGCAAAAAUGAAAAUAAGAAUCAACAUGACAAUCUCAUGGCUCCCGGAGACUCCCGCGACAGCAUUAACAAACGCCGUCCCGUACCCCGUGGACGGAUCAAUCCAAACCACAUCCAGCGCAAAGAGCACACUCCCCAGAAUCCCGGUAAAGUACAGCCACGACGACAGCUUCUGCUUCUCCAGCUCAAACGCCGCCGAGUCCUCGCCGACCGGCGGCACCUCCUCGGCCUCGGCCCCGUCGAUCGAGGCGCUGGGUCUCCGCGAGAUCCGGAGGGGUGAAUUGGCGAGACGGAGCGGACGAGGAGAGGGGAGGCGUUUGGGGAAGCAAGGGAAGGGAAGAUUGGUUGCGGCGGCGGGGGUGAGAUUGCGGCGGCGGGAAGGGAGGAUGGGGGUGGAGAGGAGGACGGAGGAGGCCAUUUUGCG